rnacentral:rRNA from 1 species
GACGAACGCUGGCGGCGUGCCUAAUACAUGCAAGUCGAGCGAAGUUUUUCUGGUGCUUGCACUAGAAAAACUUAGCGGCGAACGGGUGAGUAACACGUAAAGAACCUGCCUCAUAGACUGGGACAACUAUUGGAAACGAUAGCUAAUACCGGAUAACAGUAUUUCUCGCAUGAGAGAUAUUUAAAAGUUGGUUAUGCUAACACUAUGAGAUGGCUUUGCGGUGCAUUAGCUAGUUGGUGGGGUAAAGGCCCACCAAGGCGACGAUGCAUAGCCGACCUGAGAGGGUGAUCGGCCACACUGGGACUGAGACACGGCCCAGACUCCUACGGGAGGCAGCAGUAGGGAAUCUUCCGCAAUGGGCGAAAGCCUGACGUAGCAACGCCGCGUGAGUGAAGAAGGAUUUCGGUUCGUAAAGCUCUGUUGUUAGGGAAGAAUGGAUAUGUAGUAACUAUACAUGUAAGAGACGGUACCUAACCAGAAAGCCACGGCUAACUACGUG